GUGGACUACCAGGGUAUCUAAUCCUGUUUGCUCCCCACGCUUUCGCGCCUCAGCGUCAGUCUCGAACCAGGUCGCCGCCUUCGCCGCCGGUGUUCCUCCCGAUAUCUACGAAUUUCACCUCUACACCGGGAAUUCCGCGACCCUCUUUCGUACUCUAGCCAUUCAGUCUCGGAUGCACUUCCUCAGUUAAGCCGAGGGCUUUCACAUCCGACUUAAGCGACCGCCUACGCGCGCUUUACGCCCAAUAAUUCCGAGCAACGUUUGCACCCCACGUAUUACCGCGGCUGCUGACAC
rnacentral:misc_RNA from 1 species